UCUGAAGUCAGGCCAUGCUUGUCAGCUU
rnacentral:piRNA from 1 species